GUAGGUGAACCUGCGGAAGGAUCAUUAACACGUAUCCACGUAUCAACCCCUCUGUGAAAACGCAAAAGCAGCAAGGUCUGGUCUUAGUGCGUCUGUCCGCUAUGGGUCCUAAUAAUGGGUGACUCCUCUCGGGGUUGUCACAGGGCUCGGACGGCGUGUGUUUGACGAUCAACCGACACUUUACCAUUGUUGGCCUUUACCCAUUUUUAACCCCUUUGUACUCUUUUGUACUGAACCAUUCUUCGAUGCUCUCCCUCAAAAGAGAGUGACGAAUGAUAUUACGAAACUUAAGAACAACUCUUAGCAACGGAUAUCUUGGUUCCC
rnacentral:misc_RNA from 1 species